GGCCUCGUAGCUUAGAAGGUGUAGCGUGCGUUGUACAAAAGCGUAGGCGGUGUCCAUGCGUGGAUUCGAAUCCCACCGAGGUUA
rnacentral:tRNA from 1 species